AAACCAAAUCCAAAAUCAUUAAUCGCAAAAAAUAAUGCCUCCGACCCCUCCUCCCUAAACUCUGAAACCUCCAUAGAC
rnacentral:sRNA from 1 species